rnacentral:misc_RNA from 1 species
AUAUUAUUUUCUUUUUUAAGAUAUCUAGAAAAUUAUACAUGAAAGAUAGAUUUUUGUAUAUUAAGGAAAUUGGUGGGUCUGCUCAUGAUAUAUUUCUUUAAUGGCGCGCCGGUUUUUCUCUAUAAGUUCUGUACAUUAAUAUGAUUAUAGUAUGUAUAUAUAUGUUUUUAUAUAUGUUAUAAAUUUAUAAUGGAUACAAUAUGCGCAUAUACACGCAUAACUGACACCGGUUCACGGAACCAAAUAAAUGAAAGCUUUUCGUAUUGUGGAUGGUAUAUAUUGUGUGUUCAUGUUUUAUAUAUAAUUUGUGAUGUGGUUUUUUUUUGGUAUCAUAAAUAUAUUUACGUGUGGUCUCUGAAAUGCCAUAUGUUGUGAUGUUAUCAUUAUACUUUUAAUUAAUAAAAAAUUAAAUUA